GUGAGUCCUCCAGGCCUGCCUAGAAAGACUAUAUGGAAGCAACCAAUCAGAGCCCAGCAGGCUCAGAUAAAAGUCCCUGGCUGGCACUAGAGGAUCUAUGAAAAGUGAGCCUUGCAGGUCACAGGAGCUUGAGAAAGGACCAGAAAAAGGGUUCUGGUGGCAUUUUUGGCAUUCAAUUAGGAGAAAGAGACUCUGAGAACUUCAGCCCCAAGGGAAAGGUAAAGAGAAGGGGGCUAUGUAGGAAAAGGCCCAGGAAAUAGCAGCAGCAGCAAACUGGAGGGAGAAAUAUGUGGCUGCAGUGUAUAGGGUCCAUAGGUUGGUACCCAAAGUAGUGGGCAGGCCUGGGGCCCCCCUGCCAGACAGUGCUGGCGUGGCCAAAGCCCUGGAAAGGGGACAUGGCUAGUUUAAAAGCCCAAGAAAAGGAGCUAGAUAUAAGGGACCAGAGACAGGGCUGAAGACCCUGGUGAGAGCAAACCACCAGUUCUGGCUCGACUCUUUACAAAAAGCCCAAGAAAAGGGCUAGACUCCCAAGGGCCCAGAUACAGGGCUGAAGACACUAACAAGGGCACACCAAUUGUCCUUACUGGACCUUUGUAACCCUGGAUGGGGUGGGUUCAUUCAUUCAUUCGUGUUGACUGUGCAACUUCGCCAGAGGGCUGAGCCAUUGAAAACCUGCCUAAUGAGGCCUAUGGGGCGGCAUCAGGAGCAGGAAAAAGCCUGCAGCAGCAGGAGGCGCUCAAGAGGCAGAGGGAGGACUUGAGCCAGAGGUUAACCACAUCCAAGAUGGGGAAGUUGAGACAGAAAGGUCAAGUGUUCAAGGUCAAAACAGAAGGCAAUGGUCAGGUUAAGAAGCAAACCCUGGUUUCCUGAUUCUAACGGUGGUACAGUUUUAGAUAUUUGUGAGAAAACACUCAAAAUGACUGCAGUCAACAAAACUGACCUUUCUGAAAGUGAUCCAGCCAUCAGUGGACUAAGAACUACAUCUCCCACAGUGGAUGUAAAGCCAUCUGGCACCCAUUGUCAUAAAGACAUUUGUCUGAUGUAUGUUUAAGUAACACAAAUGAAAACAGGGACUGCUGGAGAUGGAUGUGAUUUCCAAGGAAGCAAUUGUCACUCAAGACUGUGGAGAAUGAGGGAGCUGUGUAUAUUUUUAUAAGUAUUAUAUGCACUUCUUAUCUGUUAUCCUGACUGACUGCCAGGCAUUAAAUCCAAGUAGGCAGUAAAUAGUAGAUGAAAAAAUGACAACAAUAAGGCUUUUUCGGGCAACAAUGCAGGGAGCUAUUAAUUGGGGAAUGUGCCUGCUUGACUCCCAGCAGGCUGGAAUAGCUUAUUCUUCCCAAGACUGAAAGCUAGGAUCAAAGUGGAUCCUAACCUUAAAGAUGGUGGCCUGGAGAAGGAGAGGAGUAAGGUUGUCAGAAGCCUGAGAAUGAAGACACAUAGAGAGCAUGAUUCAUGCAGAACAGUCUGCUUCUCACAGUCAGAGAUGGGGGUUAGCUGGGCUGAGAGGGACUAACAAAUUCUGACAAGGAAGGAUUAAGG